rnacentral:misc_RNA from 1 species
GUCUAUCUCUUCUUUAGCCUCUUCUUUCUCCGGAACUUCAUUUUUCUGUGAAGUAACCACCACAGUGGCUCUAGGGUUUUUGGCAUGAGACUCUUCCAAGAAAUCUUCGAGUUGAAAAGAUGGCUUCCAGACAGCAACCUGCAUGUUAUUAUUUUCUUCCUCAAGUUUUCUUUUCUUUUUGUUACUAUCCAUGUCCUGCUUCAAAGCAACUGAGCCAUUGAUAAGGCCAUCACGAGCCUCGCGAAUGUUUGUGAUGAGAGCAAAAAACUUCUCUAUCUUUACUUCUUCGUUAUCUUCGUCGUCAUCAUGGUGAUCACCCUGAGAGAGUUUCCUCUUCUUGAUUGGAGUCUCCAUGGGAAGUGUGGCUUUGGUUGUUGGAUGCGAGUACCAGGAAAGAAAGCUACAAUAUGGCAUGCACUUUCCAGGUUGCUUCCUUUGCUGCUG